AGUGAACGCUGGCGGUAGGCCUAACACAUGCAAGUCGAACGGCAGCACAGUAAGAGCUUGCUCUUACGGGUGGCGAGUGGCGGACGGGUGAGGAAUACAUCGGAAUCUACUUUUUCGUGGGGGAUAACGUAGGGAAACUUACGCUAAUACCGCAUACGACCUACGGGUGAAAGCAGGGGAUCUUCGGACCUUGCGCGAUUGAAUGAGCCGAUGUCGGAUUAGCUAGUUGGCGGGGUAAAGGCCCACCAAGGCGACGAUCCGUAGCUGGUCUGAGAGGAUGAUCAGCCACACUGGAACUGAGACACGGUCCAGACUCCUACGGGAGGCAGCAGUGGGGAAUAUUGGACAAGGGGCGCAAGCCUGAUCCAGCCAUACCGCGUGGGUGAAGAAGGCCUUCGGGUUGUAAAGCCCUUUUGUUGGGAAAGAAAAGCAGCAGGUUAAUACCCCGCUGUUCUGACGGUACCCAAAGAAUAAACACCGGCGAACUUCGU
rnacentral:rRNA from 1 species